rnacentral:rRNA from 1 species
GACAGCAAUAUGUAGGUCAAGCUAAAGACUUUACCUGAAUCGCUGAGAGGAGGUGCAUGGCCGUCGUCAGUUCGUACUGUGAAGCAUCCUGUUAAGUCAGGCAACGAGCGAGACCCGUGCCCACUGUUGCCAGCAUAUCCUUUUUGGAUGAUGGGUACUCUGUGGGGACCGCCGAUGCUAAAUCGGAGGAAGGUGCGGGCUACGGUAGGUCAGUAUGCCCCGAAUCUCCCGGGCGACACGCGGGCUACAAUGGUUGGGACAAUGGGCUCCUACACUGAAAAGUGACGGUAAUCUCAUAAACCCAGCCGUAGUUCGAAUUGAGGGCUGAAACCCGCCCUCAUGAAGCUGGAAUCCGUAGUAAUCGCG